UACGUAGGGGGCAAGCGUUAUCCGGAUUUACUGGGUGUAAAGGGAGCGUAGACGGUAUGGCAAGUCUGAAGUGAAAGCCCGCGGCUCAACUGCGGAACUGCUUUGGAAACUGCGGUACUAGAGUGCAGGAGAGGUAAGUGGAAUUCCUAGUGUAGCGGUGAAAUGCGUAGAUAUUAGGAGGAACACCAGUGGCGAAGGCGGCUUACUGGACUGUAACUGACGUUGAGGCUCGAAGGCGUGGGGAGCAAAC
rnacentral:rRNA from 1 species